rnacentral:misc_RNA from 1 species
GCUCCAUUCCUAUUAUUUCCUUUCUCAUAUCUAGCUCUGCCAUGCGUAACAAUAUCUUGACUGUUUUAUCAAUUCUUUUGGCUAGGAAAGAUGAAACUUGACUCCCUAGUCCCUGGGUAUGGGGAGAUGCAAUUAAGUCAAAACAUCCAAAGGGUUGACAACCCUUUAGACUGUCUACGCAAAGAAUUGUUCCUGCAGCACCAUUAUCUAAAUCUUUUUUUUUAAUUUCCUGAUUUUAUAUUUUACCCUCAAAGUAGCAGUCACCAACUCAAUUUCUUGAUGUUAGGGGGAGAAAUAUUAUUAAAACAAGAACAAAUACAGCAAGAUGAUUAAGUGAUACUCAUAUAAUCAUAGUUAUGGUGUUAUAAGUCAAGAAAAGAUUACAUUAACAUAAAAUCUUCUGAAUGUUGAAAUAAAUUUAGAAAAAUGAGAUGCAUUUGCUAAAUU